UGGAUACAGCCGCAAAGCUGUCGCGAUUGGCACGCGAAUUCCAGUCAACGCACGGCCUCUGAACUUCCAUGUCUCCGCAGCUCGCAAAUUUUUACCACCGUAACUUAUUCACGGUUAUCUUCGAAGGAUCGUAUCACCGGGCAGAGGCGAUGACAAGGAAGUUUACAAAUUGCAGAUUAAUUACAUGCAGCAGCUGACAUUCGUCGAAACUCCGGAUGCCUUUAUUGAAUUAUCUACUUUCUUACUACCUACGUCAGCAAAUUUCUGCCACCUCCGUAACACUAAAUGUUUCAAUUAGCACCUGGACGAUUAAAGGUAACAGUAAAUGCAGCUGGAAGAUCUUUUCGAGUUCGGGAACAAGAUCCUGUCCGACGACUUUAUGGAGAUGAAGGCUUUUGCCUAGCUAAAAUACGGCAGAUUUUUAGAAUCGGAUUGGGAUUGAAGAAACCGACUCUUCUCAUGUUCUGCAGGAAGAAAGGCUACCAUUAUUUGAAAUGGAUGACCUAAAAAAUUAUUGGUACUGGUUCAUGACAGUGGGGUUGUACAGGCAAGCCUAAAGGGCAUUAGCCAAAAGAAAUGCUAAACCUCAGUGAGAAACCUGCAUGGCAAGUGACGAGAAACACCAUCAAAGAUAUUCGGGUCUCUCCAACUCGAUUGCAGUCAAGUAGCAGAAAUAAACAGAUCCUCAUUGGAGUCCCAACCAUCUGCUGUUACCCAUCGGAGCUUGAGGCGACCCCCAUUGAUAAAAAUCGUCGUUGAACCACCGAAACCCAACUUCUAUUGUCAAACUAGGUCGGCAGCUGUGCAUCUACAUCUUUGGUGGCAUCGGAUAUCUAAAUAGAACCUCAAUACACCAAAUCCAGAUGAAAGGUCGAAGCGAUUCUACUGGAUUGACCCAUGUCAAGGAUUAGUAAGCCAGUCCUCAUGCUAUGGUGGCAACAUCAGUCGAUUUUCCUAUGCAGCAGUGUCCACUAUUCAGCCAACUCAAAAGAUAGCACUAGCUGUGUGAUAAUAUGAAUUCAUUGUCAAGCAGCCUUAAUCGAAGUUAGUUAAUGCAUUGGUAGCGUAAUUUGCUACCGGGUGAAGGAGAAAAUGUAAGCUUUCGUGCAACGCUAAUCAACCUCAUCUGCAGCCAACGAAACAGUGUCCUCGACUCGAAUCCGACUUUUUUCAUCUUCACAUCACUCAUGCACCGUAAACCAGCUCUACAAAUAGUAACCUAAAACGCAUUGAAAUUUAUAAUAAUAUUGUAAUUAGUUCUGAUCUCAGGUUCUGAUAAAUAAAUAAUGGAUCAUUUCUACAAUUGUUUUUUCUCGUUCAUAAUUAAAAACAAAACAAAAUUGAAAUAUUUCAAACGGAGGACAAGCAGGUACGAUAUGCUAUGAAGGAUUUUCAGUAAGUUAAACUAUGAUUCGUAUAAAUCAAAGUUAUACUAAGCUCGUUUAUGUGGCACUUAUACGAAGUCGGGGUCAACCAGGAGA